GACGAACUGUGCAAACGUUAUUCGGAAUUACUGGGCGUAAAGGGUGCGUAGGCGGUGGGGUAAGUUUGAGGUGAAAGCUCCGGGCUCAACCCGGAAACUGCCUUGAAAACUAUCCGGCUAGAGGGUUGGAGGGGAGACUGGAAUUCUCGGUGUAGCAGUGAAAUGCGUAGAUCUCGAGAGGAACACCAGUGGCGAAGGCGGGUCUCUGGACAACACCUGACGCUGAGGCACGAAAGCCAGGGGAGCAAACGGG
rnacentral:rRNA from 1 species